CCACAUCCAAGGAAGGCAGCAGGCACGCAAAUUACCCACUCCCAGUUCUGGGAGGUAGUGACGAAAAAUAACAAUGCGGGACUCUUCCGAGUCUGCGUAAUUGGAAUGAGAACACUUUAAAUCCUUUAUCAACAAUCAAUUGGAGGGCAAGUCUGGUGCCAGCAGCCGCGGUAAUUCCAGCUCCAGUAGCGUAUAUUAAAGUUGUUGCGGUUAAAAAGCUCGUAGUUCGAGCUCAGUUCCGGACUGGCCGGGGAGGUCACCGCCCGGUGCUUCCCCGUCAGGCUCCGAACAGCUUCUUCCCUUUGUGGAAGGGUAGCCGGUUCUGCCGGGGUGCUCUUUACCGAGUGUCUCGUGCGGCCGGCAGGUUCACCUUGAAUAAAUGAGAGUGCUCAAAGCAGGCUACUUUCAAAUACAAUGCCAGAAUGUUACCUGCAUGGAAUGAUGGAAGAUGAUCUCGGUUCCAUUUUGUUGAGUGGUGGGAGCCAGAGAUAAUGAUAAACAGGGACUGUCGGGGGCAUCCGUACUACGGCGCGAGAGGUGAAAUUCAGUGACCGUCGUAGGACGAACAACAGCGAAAGCAUUUGCCAAGAAUGUCUUCGUUGAUCAAGAACGAAAGUUAGAGGAUCGAAGGCGAUCAGAUACCGCCCUAGUUCUAACCCUAAACGAUGCUGACCAGCAAUUCGCCGUCGUUAUUCCCAUGACGUGGCGAGACGCCCCCGGGAAACCUCAAGUCUUUGAGUUCCGGGGGUAGUAUGGUUGCAAAACUGAAACUUAAAGGAAUUGACGGAAGGGCACCACCAGGAGUGGAGCCUGCGGCUUAAUUUGACUCAACACGGGAAACCUCACCAGGCCCGGACACCAGAAGGAUUGACAGAUUAAGAGCUCUUUCUCGAUUUGGUGGGUGGUGGUGCAUGGCCGUUCUUAGUUGGUGGAGUGAUUUGUCUGGUUAAUUCCGGUAACGAACGAGACUCUGGCCUACUAAAUAGUCGACGGGCGUUUUGGUGCAUGGGCCCCGUUCGACACAGUCUUCUUAGAGGGAUGAGCAGCGAGUAUAGCUGCAGGAGAUUGAGCAAUAACAGGUCUGUGAUGCCCUUAGAUGUCCUGGGCCGCACGCGCGCUACACUGAAUGGGUUAGCGGGUUUUCCUUCUCCGAGAGGAGCGGGAAAUCGCAUCAAAACCAUUCGUGAUAGGGAUUGGGGCUUGCAAUUGUUGCCCAUGAACGAGGAAUUCCCAGUAAGCGCAAGUCAUCAGCUUGCGUUGAUUAAGUCCCUGCCCUUUGUACACACCGCCCGUCGCUACUACCGAUUGAAUGAUUUAGUGAGGCCUUCGGACUGGCGGUCUUGGACUGAGUCACCUACUUGGUGUCUCGCCUGGACGAGCCGGAAAGAUGUCCAAACUU
rnacentral:rRNA from 1 species